UACGUAGGGGGCAAGCGUUGUCCGGAUUUAUUGGGCGUAAAGAGCGUGUAGGCGGCCAUACAGGUCAGCUGUGAAAACUCGAGGCUCAACCUCGAGACGUCGGUUGAAACCGUAUGGCUAGAGUCCGGAAGAGGAGAGUAGAAUUCCCGGUGUAGCGGUGAAAUGCGUAGAUAUCAGGAGGAAUACCGGUGGUGUAGACGGCUCUCUGGACCGCCACUGACGCUGAGACACGAAAGCGUGGGUAGCAAACAGG
rnacentral:rRNA from 1 species